AAUACGUUCCCGGGCCUUGUACACACCGCCCGUCAAGUCACGAAAGUCGGUAACACCCGAAGCCGGUGGCCCAACCCUUGUGGGGGGAGCCGUCGAAGGUGGGACUGGCGAUUGGGACC
rnacentral:rRNA from 1 species